CCCGGCACAAGCGGAGGAGCAUGUGGUUUAAUUCGAUGAUACGCGAGGAACCUUACCUGGGCUCGAACGUAAGAUGACUGUAGGUGAAAGCUUACAUCUCUUCGGAGCAUUUUACGAGGUGCUGCAUGGUUGUCGUCAGCUCGUGUCGUGAGAUGUUGGGUUAAGUCCCGUAACGAGCGCAACCCUUGUCCUUAGUUACCAGCACGUUAUGGUGGGCACUCUAAGGAGACUGCCGGUGACAAACCGGAGGAAGGUGGGGAUGACGUCAAGUCAUCAUGGCCCUUACGGCCUGGGCUACACACGUGCUACAAUGGUCGGUACAAAGGGUUGCCAAGCCGCGAGGUGGAGCUAAUCCCAUAAAACCGAUCGUAGUCCGGAUCGCAGUCUGCAACUCGACUGCGUGAAGUCGGAAUCGCUAGUAAUCGUGAAUCAGAAUGUCACGGUGAAUACGUUCCCGGGCCUU
rnacentral:rRNA from 1 species